UGGACCAAUGAAGAUCUGGGGUGUCUGAACUAAUGAUUUUGAUUAAAUCCUUAACUUUGAGGUCAGA
rnacentral:snoRNA from 1 species